rnacentral:rRNA from 1 species
GACGAACGCUGGCGGCGUGCUUAACACAUGCAAGUCGAACGAGAAGAGAUGAGAAGCUUGCUUCUUAUUGAUUCGAGUGGCAAACGGGUGAGUAACGCGUAAGCAACCUGCCCUUCAGAUGGGGGACAACAGCUGGAAACGGCUGCUAAUACCGAAUACGUUCUUUUGUCGCAUGGCAGAGGGAAGAAAGGGAGGCUCUUCGGAGCUUUCGCUGAAGGAGGGGCUUGCGUCUGAUUAGCUAGUUGGAGGGGUAACGGCCCACCAAGGCGACGAUCAGUAGCCGGUCUGAGAGGAUGAACGGCCACAUUGGGACUGAGACACGGUCCAGACUCCUACGGGAGGCAGCAGUGGGGAAUCUUCCGCAAUGGGCGAAAGCCUGACGGAGCAACGCCGCGUGAGUGAUGACGGCCUCGG